rnacentral:rRNA from 1 species
UGGGGAAUCUUCCGCAAUGGACGAAAGUCUGACGGAGCGACGCCGCGUGAGUGAUGAAGGCCCUUGGGUCGUAAAGCUCUGUCAUUGGGGACGAACGAGCACGUCAGGAAAUGGGCGUGAAGUGACGGUACCCAAGAAGGAAGCCACGGCUAACUACGUGCCAGCAGCCGCGGUAAUACGUAGGUGGCAAGCGUUGUCCGGAAUUAUUGGGCGUAAAGCGCGCGCAGGUGGGAUCUUAAGUCCAUUUUGAAAGUUCGGAGCUUAACUCCGUGAUGGGAUGGAAACUGGGAUUCUUGAGUAUCGGAGAGGAAAGCGGAAUUCCCCGGGUAGCGGUGAAAUGCGUAGAUAUGGGGAGGAACACCAGUGGCGAAGGCGGCUUUCUGGACGAUGUCUGACACUGAGGCACGAAAGCCAGGGGAGCGAACG